AUAAAAGCACAAUGGCCAUGACAACCACCACCUUCAGCCAUUUAACUUUCUCUUUGCUUCUCCAUACAGAUGAUGAGAUGGAGAAACUGAAGAAAAUAAGGAAGAAGAAAACCGCAAGGUAGUAGAAUUAGCAGAGAUGGAAACCGAGUCGCUGCCAACUUUCUGGCGUUAUGUCUGCCGUGGAUAUUAAUGCAUUCCUGCAUCUCUCAUUUCUUCUACUUCUCUGGCCAUCUGCUUUGGUUAUGUUGAUACAGGGUGGUGAAAUGUUUCUUGCUGCUUGUCUGUCUUCACAAACACCACGAGGCAAGGAUCAGUCAGGUGCCAUCCUCACCAGGCUGAUGUCCUAUUAAGAGAAGACAAUAAAGGUAGGUAAUUUGUUUUAUUACCUCAUUUCGAGAGUUCUCAUCGCGAAGAAAAUCGAACACCCUUUUAGGAGGAACUGGGAGCCAGAAUGAGGUUGCAGCG